ACGAACGCUGGCGGCGUGCUUAACACCUGCCAGUCGCAUGGAAAGGCCCUGCUUUUGUGGGGUGCUCGAGUGGCGAACGGGUGAGUAACACGUGAUUUACCUGCCCUUGACUUUGGGAUAACUUCAGGAAACUGGGGCUAAUACCGGAUAGGAGCUCCUGCUGCAUGGUGGGGGUUGGAAAGUUUCGGCGGUUGGGGAUGGACUCGCGGCUUAUCAGCUUGUUGGUGGGGUAGUGGCUUACCAAGGCUUUGACGGGUAGCCGGCCUGAGAGGGUGACCGGCCACAAGGGGACUGAGAUACGGCCCAGACUCCAACGGGAGGCAGCAGUGGGGAAUAUUGCACAAUGGGCGGAAGCCUGAUGCAGCAACGCCGCGUGCGGGAUGACGGCCUUCGGGUUGUAAACCGCUUUCGCCUGUGACGAAGCGUGAGUGACGGUAAUGGGUAAAGAAGCACCGGCUAACUACGUG
rnacentral:rRNA from 1 species